AGAGUUUGAUCCUGGCUCAGAUUGAACGCUGGCGGCAUGUUUUACACAUGCAAGUCGAACGGCAGCACGGGUGCUUGCACCUGGUGGCGAGUGGCGGACGGGUGAGUAAUACAUCGGAACGUAUCCUAAAGUGGGGGAUAACGCAUCGAAAGAUGUGCUAAUACCGCAUACACUCUGAGGAGGAAAGUAGGGGAUCGAAAGACCUUAUGCUUUUGGAGCGGCCGAUGUCUGAUUAGCUAGUUGGUAAGGUAAUGGCUUACCAAGGCAACGAUCAGUAGUUGGUCUGAGAGGACGACCAGCCACACUGGGACUGAGACACGGCCCAGACUCCUACGGGAGGCAGCAGUGGGGAAUUUUGGACAAUGGGCGCAGGCCUGAUCCAGCAAUGCCGCGUGCAGGAAGAAGGCCUUCGGGUUGUAAACUGCUUUUGUACGGAACGAAACGGUCUGGGUUAAUACCCUGGGCUAAUGACGGUACCGUAAGAAUAAGCACCGGCUAACUACGUGCCAGCAGCCGCGGUAA
rnacentral:rRNA from 1 species